GGGCCUAUAGCUCAGCUGGUUAGAGCACCUGACUCAUAAUCAGGGGGUCCCUGGUUCGAGCCCAGGUAGGCCCA
rnacentral:tRNA from 1 species